rnacentral:piRNA from 1 species
UGAGUUGUGUGGCUCUGGAUGGUAGU